AUGCCCUCACCUCCUAAGAUCAGGCGGGAGAGUGACUUACCAUGGAGAUGGUGGUCUCAAACAUUUUCUGAUAAAGGACAAGAGAGAAAAGUGGAGCAGAAGGAAAAGACAAAAAAAGGAUCAGAAUAGGAGAAAAUAUCAAGAAUAUCUAACCUAGGGUUUGGAAGGAAUGAUAGAAGAUUCUUUGGAAGUUCAUCGGAGA
rnacentral:lncRNA from 1 species